AUCGCAAAGUACAAUGGCAGAUCUGAGGUAUAGUGAGGGUAUGUCCUCAAUAUAUUGCGCUAUAUGCCAGGACAAUGUGGCAAUGGAGGAGGUUGCGCAGCAUGAAUGCUUUUUGGGAGCUGAAGAUUCAAUCGAGUUAACAAUUGAAGGCAACGCAGUCAAUUUAAAUGAUAAUAUGUUACAAGAAUCGAAUCAAAUGAUGGCGUUGACGAUGGACCAUUCUGGAAACGCUGCAGAUUUUAUAUCAUCCUCAUCAUCAUCAUCAUCCUCAUCAUCAUCCUCAUCAUCAUCAGAUGAUAAUGAUGGGAAAAUUCUGCUUGCUCUUUUGAUGAUCCGCAGAAAAAAAAGAGAAAGAGAAGGUUUUAUGUAAAUCCUUUGUGGUCAAGUAGAGAGGAGAGAGAAGAAUUUUAUUAUUACAAAAAUAAUUGAAAAAAGGAUGACUGUAACACAGUAUGAAGAACUUCUCGAGUUAGUUGGUCCUGCUUUAUUGAGCAAAAAAACUCGAAAAGACAUUAUAAGUCCAUCCACAAAAUUGAUUAUGACAUUAAGAUUUCUGGCCACGGGUGAGUCGUUAUCAUCUCUGCACAUGCAGUUUCAAAUGGGACUUUCUACGGCAUCAAAAUGGUGCUACAAAACUUUGAAAGUUUUGUACGAGAAAUUACAGCCAAUCGUAUUGCGGAUGCCUGAAACUCCUGCAGAUUGGAAAAAAAUUUCCGAAGAUUUUGAAAGACGGUGGCAAUUCCCUCAUGUUUGGGGGGCGAUGCACAGUGGGGCAAAAAACACGCUAUUGGACAAAUUG